rnacentral:rRNA from 1 species
GCAUGCCUAACACAUGCAAGUCGAACGGCAGCACAGUCGUAGCAAUACGAUGGGUGGCGAGUGGCGGACGGGUGAGGAAUACAUCGGGACCUACCUAGACGUGGGGGAUAACGUAUGGAAACUUACGCUAAUACCGCAUACGUCCUACGGGAGAAAGCGGGGGAUCUUCGGACCUCGCGCGGUUAGACGGACCGAUGUUCGAUUACCUAGUUGGUGGGGUAACGGCUUACCAAGGCGACGAUCGAUAGCUGGUCUGAGAGGAUGAUCAGCCCCACUGGGACUGAGACACGGUCCAGCACUCCUACGGGAGGCAGCAGUGGGGCAAUAUUGGACAAUGGGCGCAAGCC